rnacentral:lncRNA from 1 species
AAAAAAAAAAAAAAGAGUAUCGUGAAUUUUAAUUUUUUGACAUCAUUUACAGGUUCAUUUUAAGUGACUGUUCAGUACCGCACCUCGACGAGCACGGAAUUCCCUACCUUGGCAUCUCAAGGCUUAGUAGUUCAGAACGUGGAGACAUUCGACGCUGGGGCGACUCAAACCAACAGUACUCAGGGAGUUCCUGAUCCUAUUUAUUUUUAGUUGACGCUAUUUCUUUAUUUUAGAAUUGCAUCAAUUAAUUCGUUGUGUGCUGGCCAUUUGAUAAUAUUGCCUUCAACCUAUUUGAUUGUUUUUCACGAACUAAAUUCCAUUGAUAUGUACUAGCCCUUUGAUAAUACUGCCUUAAACCUAUUCGAUUAUAUUUCACGAACUAAAUUCCAUUACUCAAUCGUUUACCCCACGUGACUAGACCUAGUAUUUGGACAUUUGCUUUUCUAUUUUAUUAGCAUUAGUAGUAUUAGCUUGCGAUCGAGCCAUAAGUAACCCCAAC